rnacentral:rRNA from 1 species
GAUGAACGCUGGCGGCGUGCCUAAUACAUGCAAGUCGAGCGAACAGACGAGAAGCUUGCUCCUCUGACGUUAGCGGCGGACGGGUGAGUAACACGUGGAUAACCUACCUAUAAGACUGGGAUAACUUCGGGAAACCGGAGCUAAUACCGGAUAAUAUUUUGAACCGCAUGGUUCAACAGUGAAAGACGGUCUUGCUGUCACUUAUAGAUGGAUCCGCGCCGCAUUAGCUAGUUGGUAAGGUAACGGCUUACCAAGGCAACGAUGCGUAGCCGACCUGAGAGGGUGAUCGGCCACACUGGAACUGAGACACGGUCCAGACUCCUACGGGAGGCAGCAGUAGGGAAUCUUCCGCAAUGGGCGAAAGCCUGACGGAGCAACGCCGCGUGAGUGAAGAAGGUCUUCGGAUCGUAAAACUCUGUUAUUAGGGAAGAACAAAUGUGUAAGUAACUAUGCACGUCUUGACGGUACCUAAUCAGAAAGCCACGGCUAACUACGUG